CCGGAAGAUGCGUUAUCUAGUGGCGGACGGGUGAGUAACACGUGGGUAACCUGCCUUAUGGAGGGGGAUAACAGAGAGAAAUCACUGCUAAUACCGCAUAAGCACACAGUACCGCAUGGUACAGGGUGAAAAGAUUUAUCGCCAUAAGAUGGACCCGCGUCUGAUUAGCCAGUUGGCAGGGUAAAAGCCUACCAAAGCAACGAUCAGUAGCCGAUCUGAGAGGAUGACCGGCCACAUUGGGACUGAGACACGGCCCAAACUCCUACGGGAGGCAGCAG
rnacentral:rRNA from 1 species